UACAUCACUCCUUGUUUCCAAUUCAGUAAACUGCCCUAAGUCACUUACUGAGUCAGAAAUGUCUCCUACUAUAAUGAAAUGCCAAAUCAAAUGAUAUCUGCUACCUCAUUCAGUUCAAUCAAACUCCUCCCAUGAUGGAUACAUUGUCUCUUUAAGAAGAAUUUCAUGAGCAUACCUGGACACAAUAAACAUGCCCAUGCCAGGAUUUCCAUCACAUCACAAAAUAAUCCUCAUUGCAUCACAAAUUAUCCUCUGAAAUACAGCAAUGUGAAUUAAAUACAGCACUACAUAAAUGGAUUGUGUACUAAACUAAGGAAGCUACAACAUUUCCCGACAUUCUUUGUCAUUUUUUAGCACUGAUGGGGAUCUUCAGGAUUUCCAGUAAUAAGGACACAUUUAAAAGAAUCAAAGUGUUUACGAAAUUAAUUUUCUAUUUACAUAGACAAAGCAGCAUUAGGUAAAUAAGACAUACUUGUACACAGUCAAAGUAAUGGUGGACAACCAAAUGCCUGCCUAUAAAUGUCAUUAUAGAUAGUUGUUGCUAUAAAUUAAAGAUGGCCAUGAUGAGAUAAGUUCUUUAUCCUUCGUAAUUGUUUCUAAAUAUUCUAUCUAAAACUGUGCUAUUCUUUAAAGAUGGGCGCCAAUAUGAAAAAGCUUUAAAACCAUACUUUUUACCCUGCAAUGUAAAAGGGCAUGCACCUAAACGAAAUUGAGCAGUAAAUUGGCAUUCAGCUAUAUAUCAACACGCUUCUUUUAUACUUUAAUAUUUUCACUAACAGUAUAUUUACAUAACUUGAAAGCAAGUUAUUGAGGGGUAUGAUUUACUUCCUCCAUCCUCUUUUCUGUAUAAUACUAAUAAGCUUUCUCAUGUGCUUGCUGAUAAGAGACGUGGGAUACUGCAAUAAGAAAGGAAUACCAUAUCAGUUCAGAAUUAAAAAGCACCGAAAAGAAAAGCUUGAAACAAAAUUAAAUUGCUUAUAGCAAGUGAAAUAUGAAAUAUAGGAUAAAUAAUUUAUUAGGGGAAAAAGGGUGAUCCAAGCAUAAAAGAUUAAAGCAUUCAUUUAAUAUGAAAGGUAGUACAGGUAUUUGUGACUUUUGCUUUAGAAGCCUUGGAAAAUGUUAUCAAAGACUAAUGAGCAACACGAUUUAUUUUGAUAAUUAGUCAAUUUGAUAGUUGGACACAUAUGGAAACACUUUUUUGGUGGUUUUUUUUUUUUUGGUUUGGGUUUUUUUGUGUUGUUGUUGUUUUUUUUUAUGAGUUAACACAAGGAAACGCAAAUGUUGUCCACAUGGGAUAUGAUGUGAAUGCCCAUCAAAUGUGGCAUGGAAAAAAAGUAGAUAAAUACAAAGAAAAAACGCAGAGCACCAUUGUGCUGAUAACCUGAAAAUAAAAUUAGAAAAGGUUUUUAAAAGAGGAUUUGAUCAUUAAAGUUAGUGUCAUCCAAAUAAGAAAAGUACAUUCAAUAUCUGCAUGUUGUUUGGAUACCUAGAUAUAUCUAUGGCAAGAAAAAAAUCAUCAACUAUUAACUUUCCUUUUAAAGACUUAAGAAAGACUUUAUUAUGUUUUACUUUAUGUCUGGUCUCAAAAUUCUGUGAUUGUCUUCCCCUAUCAGGAAAAAAAUUUUAGCACGUUCUACUUCCCCAGUAGAUGUAUAAUUACUUAGUUAUAAAUUAAAUACACAUACCACUGUACUUAUAUAGUAUGUACAUUUUAUAACAUAAAGAAAAAUAUAAAUUAAAAAAGAAUGAGAUGAACAUUUUAAAAAUUUUAUUAAUUAAUGGUACAAACCCCAUUUUUGAUCUUACUAAAAAAAGUAUAUUAAUAAUAUUGUGAGAAUAAUGUGUUUGAAUAUUCUUCAUUAAUUUUCAAAAUCUUGGUUUAACACUUUGUGAUACAGUGAUUCAAGUGUCUGUUUCUAAGCACAGUUUAUUUCGAUACUUGGUUUUAUUGGCCAUUAUAGCCGAAAAAGGUUCAUCUUUAAUGAUACCAGGUGCAAAUUCAUACUUCUAAUAGUCUUCUGGAUAAUUGCUGACUUCUUGUUAGAUCUGAUUGGAUCAGCUUUGCUUUUAACCUUGUAACGUGGCUGACUUGUACUAGAAGUGUCAGCUCUGCCAUUUUCUUGUUGUUCACCUAUGCAGCCAUUAUUAUCAUUAUAUUCAUUGCUCAGCUUAUUUGCAGGAUAUUUGUGCAUUUGAAGAGGAUUAGUUUAGUUAAAACUAGGCAAUGUUCCAUAAAUCCAUCGUACUGGGCAUACAAAAACUGCAAUACACUGCAAUAUACUGAAAAACGAGUGAAUGAGUGAAGGCCCCACUGUGAACCCCUCUGCAUUGUGAACACCCACUCUUCCCCCAGGAUGCUUCGCCUACUCUACGUGAUACAAGACCGUGUUCUGAAUGUCAUAUCCUUACUCUGUGUUUUGCACAUAUUUGGAGCAUGUCUCUAAGCUAACAAAUAGAUAAAAUGAAAGUAAAUGUUAACAGCAAAUUUGUUAUCUGUAAACCAACACUGCAUUCACCCGUGCGAUUCAUCUAAAUCAGAAAGGUCAGGGGAACAAAUAUUUCACUUGACACAAAAGAGUUUCUAGCACUCUAUAAUCAACCUAAGACCUCUUAUUGAAUUCAGAAAGCCACUAAUAUGUUGGACGGCGGGAAGACAGAAGACAUCAAAAAUCCACCAGUUUCACCAUCCUUCAGUUGCAAAGAUUUACCUGUCGUAUGAAACUCCGACUCGAUUCAAAGUUGUUCAUCACAUCUCACGCUGCAAAGGCAAGAAGAAAAAAACCCACCCUAAAAACUAAUUCCUAAUCAAUGUUUCCUCCUGAUCCCAAAUGCAAUGAUCAAUUUAAUGUGAAAUAGUUCUGCAAGAUAUCUCAGCUAGAGAUUUUAAAACUUAUGUCUCCUGUCAUAACAAGUCAUUGGCUGAAGAAGUUGGGCUAUAGGAAUCUGCAACCAACAAAAGAUAUUUUUGUUCGUGUCAUCAGUGGUAUCAUGAGGUGGAUAAAGGAGACCCAUAGAGUAAGAGGAAAUGAGAAAAGAACAAGGCCUCUGCAUUGUUUUAUAAAGCCAAUUGGUUUCAUUUUUUUAUAUUUAUGUUAUAGAUACACACAUAUACAGAAUUCUUAUACACAGGUUUUCAUAUACACAUACACAUUUGCACAGGUUUUCAGCUCGAAAUGGAUCGUCAUCCAGAGGAAACUGGAUAGGUCCACAUGACACCGAAGGGCAGACUAAUACCAAACUUUUUAACGAAUUUCUGUCGCAUUCUAAUCUGAUUAGUAUUACUGGGAUUUAUACGCUUACAUGAAGAUCCAUCCAACACUCCUUUAGAUAAUGUUACAAAAAUUCUAUACUUAUUCUUUAGAUAAUUGUCAUGACAUAUAUCUUACUAUUUGACUCUUCUCAGUUGCUCCAUCAUUUAUUUCUUAACAGAACACAUUAAAAUGUGGAUUCCAAUGUUCAGUAACUUUUAAUAAAAUUGGUGCCUUUAAGAAUAUGAAGGGGGACACUGUUUUCUCACAGUGAAUUUUAGGAAGUUGAUAUUAUCUUUAAUUUUUUCUACUGCUGUUUCUCUCAUCUGAAGGAGUACAUGAUGAGGAAAACAUAAGACCAUUUUUAAGUUUUGUGCACAAGUUAAAUAAUUUCCUUCUGCUUCAUUAAUUUCUUUCAACAGGUCCUCAUUUUCCAGUGCUUCUGACUGGGCUAUCAUCUUAAGAUUAAGCAGCAAAGAACUGAAUGUCAGAUCUUUGGGACUCAGCAGUGAAAAACUUUCCAGCAAAAAAACCAAAAGAGCACAAGAAACAAUUUUGAACUGAUUUAUAAUUGGGCUAAGAUCUAGGUGUUCAGAUACAAAUCAAAUCCCGCCAUCAGCUUUGUUUAAGAGAAGCAAAGAAUGAAGACCAGAGGCUUCCAGCAAUUCUAGACUGCCAUGGAUCUUAUUCUAGAACUGGAGGUUUUGCUCCCAUUUUCAGUUUCAUAUGGCUUUUACUCCCUCCUAAUACUGAUUCUUCAAAGAGGCUCUUGUUCUGUGGUAUCUUGAGUCUGACUUCUGCCUGCCUUGAUCCGGUAAAUUUAUUCUGUAAAUUCUGAGGACUGUUAUCUCUGGCUCCUCAGCCCUAAUGUGCUUUACGUUGUGACUUCCACAGAUCUCAAUGCAACCUCAACAUUCGCACACUGACAGUAAUUUUAGGAUGCAAAGAGCCUCUACAACACUUGA